rnacentral:lncRNA from 1 species
GCUUUAUGAGAGAAGCGUUGAGAUAGAAGUAAACAAUAAAUGCACAAAUAUUUUUAUACUUGUUCACUCCAAAUGAGUUAUGUCCAGUUUCCUCUAUCUUCAGAGGGUUCCACUAUAAUCUUCAACAAGAUUACAAUUGAGUAUCCCUAGGCACUCUUGGUAUCCCCCGAUACGCUGCCUAGUUGAGUUUCAACGAAGGCACUACUAUUUUCUAUCUUUCUCCAUAAUUUUGGUUCUUUGCAAAUGUCGUUUUGCCACCAUCCUUCAUGUUUUUUGUCAUCAAACAUCACCACGUCAUCCCUUCACCAUUGCCAC